rnacentral:rRNA from 1 species
UACGUAGGGGGCUAGCGUUGUCCGGAAUCAUUGGGCGUAAAGCGCGUGUAGGCGGCCCGGUAAGUCCGCUGUGAAAGUCGGGGGCUCAACCCUCGAAUGCCGGUGGAUACUGUCGGGCUAGAGUGCGGAAGAGGCGAGUGGAAUUCCUGGUGUAGCGGUGAAAUGCGCAGAUAUCGGGAGGAACACCAAUGGCGAAGGCAGCUCGCUGGGACGGUACUGACGCUGAGGCGCGAAAGCGUGGGGAGCAAACAGG